AGAGUUAAACAGUACGUGAAAUUGCCAAAAGGGAAACGCUUGGAACCAGUAUUGUCUCCAGGUAAUCAAGUACACGUUCCGCAAGGGUCGCGUGUGGUGCACUUGCCUGUGGACAGGCCAACAUCAGUUUGGUUUGGGGUAAAAAGCCGGAGAAAGGUAGCUUGGACUUGUCUGAGUGUUAUAGUCUCCGGUCAUGCCUUGGACUGGACUGAGGUCUGCAGCGUUAUUUGGGUACCCGAUUGCCUCUUGAACCAUCUUCUUUAGACAGCAUGCUGACUAUGACUCGGUCUAGGGAGCCCGGUUGGGAUUCCACACCAACACUUAGGAUGUUGACGAAAUGGUUUCAAACGACC
rnacentral:rRNA from 1 species